rnacentral:lncRNA from 1 species
UAAUUAAAAGGCACCAUUUUAACUCCCAAGACCCCUUUUAAACGGGCUAUAUUGACAUUAUUAAAUCAGGAUCAUUUUUGGCCCGAUUCAAAGUUCUGUUUGGGCCCUAUAUUUUGGAGAGCUGAUCAGGCCUUUCCCCUCUUUUUAUAGAGCAAUUAUGACUAUUGUACAACAGAGGAAAAUAGCCAUUUUAGGCCUAUUAAUAAAUGAGAAGCAUUAUUGGCCCCAGUAACAGCCCCAGUUUUUAAAAGAGCCAAAAAAGCCCGUUGGAGCCAUUUUGGCUUCUACGGUUCAUUCACGUUCUGGUCAUUCACGUUCUGGCAUCAGGAUAAAUUAGCUCUUAGAAGCAUUAUUGGCACCACACUAGAGACAUUUUAAAAGCCAAAACAGCUCUUGGAGCCUUUUUAGCCCCUCUCUGUUUUUACGAAUAUGACCAUGAAGAGAGUUGUAUAAAAAAAUUGUAAAUAUGGAUGUAAACAUCGAUAUUUAUAAUCCUUGGCGUUUUUAGAUGGCAUUUACACGGUCACUUCCAUAUGGUACCGACAUGAAGUCCAACAUAUUAAUUUCCACCGAGAAGGAUGCGGGUAGUGUUAUGGGUCUGGAUUGAGGAUGGCCACAUCAGUUUGUUCCAGUAGAAGAGAUAUGCAAACUCUGUUCGUCUUUUUUGUCCGAGCCAAUGUUUCAUCCAGGUCAAAGAGGAAAAUCACACCUGCAUGCAGAAAUGAAUCCAUUAAAAGAGAUCGAAAUUAAAGUGAAGUUUUGCAAAGAAAUAACAAGUGCAGAGCCAUGCAUCAAUCAAUCCCCACAGAAAUUGAUAACAUAUACCAAAGAAAACGAGCAACAUGGCAGCAUGAUUUCGUUAGAGGAAAAGGCGGUUUACACCAGAAAUGGAAAUGCAUUCAAGAUCAAGAUUGAAGAAUUGCCGCCAAUAAUGCCUGAUGCCAUGCGAAAUGAGAGCGCUAUGAACUCCGAACACGAGAAACAGAGUGCCAUUUUAAAAUCUUUGGAGUAUGACGGUGAUCCAGCAAAUUACACCAACUCAUAAAGGAAAAACAACUGGAUAUAGAGAAUCUUAAAGAAAUGUCUUUUGAAGCGAUAAAAGAUAUAUGCGAACAAUGUUCCAUUUCCACUCAGAGAAAAUCAAAGUGUACUGUCGCAUCAAUGUUUCUUUGCUUGACUGAGUCAGUACGAGAUGCUGUAGACUUGUAUUUGUCAAUGAAAUACCACCCGAUACUCUUUAUCAACGACACACCAUGUGGGUUAGCACGCGGCAUAUAGAAUGUAGAUUUCCAGAUAUCUGCACAGACUUAUGAGGAAACAUAGGUGGUUGUUUUGAAACACCAACAACUGAAAGGGAUCCGAUUCAGAACCACAACAUUCCAGCAAUCGUGCCGCCUGAAUACAAAAUGGACGGUACUGUAUACAUCGAGGCCGAAGAUAGUGCAUAUGUCGACCCUGCUACUGGUUCAACUGACCGCUAUAUCUUGGGAGAUAAAUUCCAUUCGACCACGAAUCCUCACAAAUCACCUUUAUGCGCGUAUCAUGACAUCAACCUUUGUGAUCAGGCAAACUGCGUGGUAACCAGUACGCAAGAAUCGCAAAACAACCGAAAGAACAUCAGGCGGUUGCAUAGUUCAUGUCAUCAAAAUUUCGAAACACACAUUUUAUUUAAUUACUUGCUGGAUUUCUAUCGAAAUGAACAAGUCGUGAAAGAUCAGGAGCGAAAUCUCUCAAAACUGCUUAAGCGAAACCAGAAACUAGUGAGAGAUAAUUUGCUACGCUUCGUGGUGCGCUAGUUGCCUAUUUGCAGUGACGUAUAUUCAUGUUAACAGACUGUGAAGAGAGAGGUGUUGGGGGCUAUUGGAAUCCGAAAAACCGCACAAAAAAACAAAAACCAGAACCCCGUAGUAAUUAAAUUACGACCGAAGCCGAAAACCGCAUAUAGACCCGUAUACUGCAUAACCAUCAAAUAAUUAUAAUCCUUAAAAUCCUUAAACGUUUUAUAUCCCAUUGUUUUACGUAACUAAUUUUAGUUCUUUAAACAAAAAAUCUUGCAAAACUCGCGAAAAGACUGGGAAUGGAAUGCGUAAAUUACGUAACCUUUUGCCACCAGUGAA